rnacentral:rRNA from 1 species
AUUGAACGCUGGCGGCAGGCUUAACACAUGCAAGUCGAGCGAGCGGCGGACGGGUGAGUAAUGUCUGGGAAACUGCCUGCUGGAGGGGGAUCACUACUGGAAACGGUAGCUAAUCCCGCAUACCAUCAGAUGUGCCCAGAUGGGAUUAGCUAGUAGGUGGGGUAAUGGCUAACCUAGGCGACGAUCCCUAGCUGGUCUGAGAGGUUGACCAGCCACACUGGAACUGAGAAACGGGCCAGACUCCUACGGGAGGCAGCAGUGGGGAAUAUUGCACAAUGGGCGCAAGCCUGAUGCAGCCAUGCCGCGUGUGUGAAGAAGGCCUUCGGGUUGUAAAGCACUUUCAGCGAGGAGGCGUUACUCGCAGAAGAAGCACCGGCUAACUCCGUGCCAGCAGCCGCGGUAAUUC